rnacentral:tRNA from 1 species
GCCCGGGUAGCCCAACUGGUCGAGGCAGUGGUCUUAAAAACCACGGCUCUUACGAGCGUGCCGGUUCGAAUCCGGUCCCGGGUA